AACGAACGCUGGCGGCGUGGAUAAGACAUGCAAGUCGAGCGCUCAUUCGGUUGCAGCAAUGUAGCCGAGUGGGAGCGGCGCAAGGGUGCGUAACACGUGGGUAAUUUGCCAAAAAGUUUG
rnacentral:rRNA from 1 species